rnacentral:rRNA from 1 species
GACGAACGCUGGCGGCGUGCCUAAUACAUGCAAGUAGAACGCACAGUUUAUACCGUAGCUUGCUACACCAUAGACUGUGAGUUGCGAACGGGUGAGUAACGCGUAGGUAACCUGCCUGGUAGCGGGGGAUAACUAUUGGAAACGAUAGCUAAUACCGCAUAAUAUUGAUUAUUGCAUGAUAAUUAAUUGAAAGGUGCAAUUGCACCACUACCAGAUGGACCUGCGUUGUAUUAGCUAGUAGGUGAGCUAACGGCUCACCUAGGCGACGAUACAUAGCCGACCUGAGAGGGUGAUCGGCCACACUGGGACUGAGACACGGCCCAGACUCCUACGGGAGGCAGCAGUAGGGAAUCUUCGGCAAUGGACGAAAGUCUGACCGAGCAACGCCGCGUGAGUGAAGAAGGUUUUCGGAUCGUAAAGCUCUGUUGUAAGAGAAGAACGGGUGUGAGAGUGGAAAGUUCACACUGUGACGGUAUCUUACAGAAAGGGACGGCUAACUACGUG